GAUGAACGCUGGCGGCGUGCCUAAUACAUGCAAGUCGAACGAAGAGGGGACGGGUGAGUAACACGUGGAUAACCUCCUUUAAGACUGGGAUAACUUCGUGAAACCGGAGCUAACCCGGAAAAUUAUAGAUGGAUCCUCUCUGCAUUAGCUAGUUGGUAAGGUAACGGCUUACCAAGGCAACGAUGCAUAGCCGACCUGAGAGGGUGAUCGGACACACUGGAACUGAGACACGGUCCAGACUCCUACGGGAGGCAGCAGUAGGGAAUCUUCCGAAAUGGGCGAAAGCCUGACGGAGCAACGCCGCGGGAGUGAUGAAGGUCUUCGGAUCGUAAAACUCUGUUAUUAGGGAAGCGGUACCUAAUCAGAAAGCCACGGCUAACUACGUGCCAGCAGCCGCGGUAAUUC
rnacentral:rRNA from 1 species